rnacentral:tRNA from 1 species
ACCUGGCUGGCUCAGUUGGUGGAGUAUGUGACUCUUGAUCUCAGAACUGUGGGUUUGAGCCCCACAUUGGGUU